UCCAGUAGCGAUUUGAUGUUUCGCGAGCAUCAUAGCUCUUUAGCCAAUAAGGAGACGAUUCCAACGGGAUGCAACAUGAUACAUCUGGUGAGGGCGGGCUGUGCAGUGGAGCCUGCGAAUAUUAUUAUUAUUAUUUUUUUUUUCAACUUUAUUGCACAAUUCUCGAACUUUUCACACUCUCACGCCUCAGGGGAGAGGGGGUUCAGCAAAAAAUCGGCAGCUAGCAGCAGAAAGUCCUGCCAUAUUAGGAGGGACCUACUAUUUCGUGGCAGCCAAUCAGUAUCGUCCAACGUAGUAGCAACCAAUCACAUUUAACUGGAAGGCAAGCGACAGCAGCACCGGCUAAUCUUCAGUAAUGGCGGCGGUAUUUGGCUCGGUUAUUUUGGAAGAGGAAAACGAGGAGAAAUGAAAACACCCAUCCAGGGUUUUGCAGUGAUUGGUGCCAGCGACUGGAGAGUGGUCUGCCGUUCAAUCAACCAGUUCCAAUCUAAAAGCUUAGUUAAUCUAACUAAUCUUUCUUUCUUUUUUUUCCUAACAAACCUUUAACUUAAAUUAGAAACAAAUAAAGUUUUUUUUCUUUCUAACUAUUCAUAAAGUUAUAACCAUUCUACCUUUUAUGGAUAGAUAGGAGGGUAGGAGAUUAGUAAGAAAAACAAAGAAAUUGCUUUUCUUACUAAUCUCCUACCCUCCUAUCUAUCCAUAAGUGUAGAAUUGUUAUAACUUUGUUCUCUUGCAAAUGACAAGUAGCCAACGUGUAUGUACUGAUGUCAUUCAUGCCCUUAAACGUUAUAACUGGUGUGAGAUUGUGUACGGUAGAGUCUCUGGCCUGCGACCCCGUGAGACUUUGAUGCCUGGCUUCACCGAUGAAACUAUUCUUCAAUAAAUUUUUACUUAUUUGAUUGUA